GGAAUCCUCCCACUACUCUGUGCUAGGUGAAGAACUGAUGAAACAGCAUGCAGAAGAAUCCAGUCUCCCUGUGCAGUGCUACAGGGAAUCAGCACUGACUGCUGGAUCUUGGAUCUCAGAUGUCUGGGAUCCUGCAUACCAGGGAUUUUGGGAGAGAUGGACAUGGAAAGUGGAGAGGAGAGGAAAGAGGAAAACCCCUGAUCCACCAAAGGUUUUCCACUGCAAAGUGUGAUAAACUUCAACAGAGGUGAUGGAUGGAGCUGCUCCCUCACCUUUUCCAAAGGGUAGAAGUCAUGAAGGUGCUUUUAUGGACAGCAGACAUGAGCUCCAGUGUUUCUUUUCUCAGGCAGAAAAGAGAAAUGAACACAGACUUCCAGCCUUCAUAUUUCACAAAAAAUGGGGAAGUGAACUAAAUGGAGCAGCUGAAGAAAACGACAGAUGUAACCCAGUGCAAGAGCACCCAGGGCUCCAUCCUGCUCACUCAGCCUAGGUAACUUUAUUGUGUUUUUCCUCUCAAAAACUCUGCAUUUUUGAAUUGUCAUGUAUGUUUUCAUUCCCAUUGCUGCCAGUGGGCAAGGAGACAACCAGAGAAACAAGCUGGACCCAGCCAUGCUUCUGGUUGAGUGCUUGCACAUCUGCUGUUUUUCUGAUUCAGUGAUGGGUGGUGUUGGUCUAUGCCCUCUCUAUUAUGUACCAUGAAAAAUUUUCUGGCAACUGAAUCAUUAAUACAUAUUUAAUUUAAUUUUAUUCCAUUUCAGGUCUUGCAACUGCACUUCUCAGAAAAGCUGUCCAUGUGGGGGAAGGUGUGCAAUAACCUGAUUUAUACAUGUGUUCAAUAGAUAGCAAUAGUAAAAGUUUCUGGUUCACACAGGUGAACAUUUCUGUGCGGGUUCUGCAGGUGGUGCUUCAUCCUUUCCAGUACAACAUUUCAGUAGUGUUAAGCCCCUCUGGAGACUCUCACAUUUUUUUCUAUGCAAAGAAAAUGUUCCACUAACUGAAGAAAUAUCAGAACUCUGUAGGUGCAAGAAAGACAUCAAUCUUCUGUCAUCAGGGACAGAAGACAUAAUUUACCAUUUUCAGGGGCCUACAGGAAAGCUGGAGAGGGACUUCUGACAAGGUCAGGGAGUGAUAGGACAAGGGGAAAUGGCUUUAAAC